rnacentral:rRNA from 1 species
UACGUAGGGUGCAAGCGUUAAUCGGAAUUACUGGGCGUAAAGCGCGUGUAGGCGGCUAAGUAAGUCGGGCGUGAAAUCCCACGGCUCAACCGUGGAAGUGCACUCGAAACUGCAUAGCUAGAGUCCUGGAGAGGAAGGUGGAAUGCUUGGUGUAGAGGUGAAAUUCGUAGAUAUUAGGAAGAACACCAGUGGCGAAGGCGGCUCACUGGUCCGGUACUGACGCUGAGGUGCGAAAGCGUGGGGAGCAAACAGG